UGGGGAAUAUUGCGCAAUGGGCGAAAGCCUGACGCAGCGACGCCGCGUGAGGGAUGAAGGUUCUCGGAUCGUAAACCUCUGUCAGAAGGGAAGAAACCGCACCGUGCUAAUCAGCGGUGCAUUGACGGUACCUUCAAAGGAAGCACCGGCUAACUCCGUGCCAGCAGCCGCGGUAAUACGGAGGGUGCAAGCGUUAAUCGGAAUUACUGGGCGUAAAGCGCACGUAGGCUGCUUUGUAAGUCAGGGGUGAAAUCCCACGGCUCAACCGUGGAACUGCCUUUGAUACUGCUUAGCUUGAAUCCGGGAGAGGGUGGCGGAAUUCCAGGUGUAGGAGUGAAAUCCGUAGAUAUCUGGAGGAACAUCAGUGGCGAAGGCGGCCACCUGGACCGGUAUUGACGCUGA
rnacentral:rRNA from 1 species